rnacentral:rRNA from 1 species
GAUGAACGCUGGCGGCGUGCUUAACGCAUGCAAGUCGAACGGAAAGGCCCUGCUUGCAGGGUACUCGAGUGGCGAACGGGUGAGUAACACGUGGGUGAUCUGCCCUGUACUUUGGGAUAAGCCUGGGAAACUGGGUCUAAUACCGAAUAUGACAAUUGUUUGGAUGCGAUUGUGGAAAGCUUUUGCGGUAUGGGAUGAGCUCGCGGCCUAUCAGCUUGUUGGUGGGGUAAUGGCCUACCAAGGCGUCGACGGGUAGCCGGCCUGAGAGGGUGUACGGCCACAUUGGGACUGAGAUACGGGCCAGACUCGUACGGGAGGCAGCAGUGGGGAAUAUUGCACAAUGGGCGCAAGCCUGAUGCAGCGACGCCGCGUGGGGGAUGACGGCCUUCGGGUUGUAAACUCCUUUCGCAACCGACGAAGCCUUUUGGUGACGGUAGGUUGAGAAGAAGCACCGGCUAACUACGUG